CGUCUAUAUACGUAUAGCAUAUCAAUAAGCGGAGGAAAAGAAGCUAACUAGGAUUCCCCUAGUAACGGCGAGUGAAGCGGGAAGAGCUCAAAUUUGAAAUCUUCAAGGGUUUCCCUUGACGAAUUGUAGUUUAAAGAAGUGUUUUCUGUUAGGAGAGGUGGUAAAAGUUCUUUGGAAUAGGACAUCAUAGAGGGUGAGAAUCCCGUAUUUGACCAUUAUUUCCUAGCUUUGUGAUACACUUUCAAAGAGUCGGAUUGUUUGGGAAUGCAGUCCAAAAUGGGUGGUAAAUUUCAUCUAAAGCUAAAUAUUGGCGAGAGACCGAUAGCGAACAAGUACCGUGAGGGAAAGAUGAAAAGAACUUUGAAAAGAGAGUUAAACAGUACGUGAAAUUGUCAAAAGGGAAGCGUUUGACACCAGUGUUGUUUUUCUCGAAAAUCAAUUACAAAUGAUUUGGAUUUUUGAGUAGUUAUGACUUCAUCAGCUUUCUGCAUCUCUUUUACUAAUCUUUCUUAAUGCACUUUUCGGUUAACAAGUCAACAUCAAUUUCUUUUGUUGUAAAAGAGUACAUGGAAGGUGGCUUUCAUUUCGGAGAAAGUGUUUAUAGCCUUGUGCCUUCUGCAAUCGGAGAGAUUGAGGUCUGCAGCGUAGAUCCUUCGGGGUUAGAUACAUUUGUGCUAAGUUAUAGCUUUUCAUAGACAACUUGUUGACUAUGUUUAGUCUUGUAGCUUACUCGCUUAUGCUAUUUUACCUACGCUUAGGAUGUUGACACACGCACGUGCUCG
rnacentral:rRNA from 1 species